GAAAACUGAUUUAAUGAGCCUGA
rnacentral:piRNA from 1 species